rnacentral:rRNA from 1 species
GACGAACGCUGGCGGCGUGCUUAACACAUGCAAGUCGAACGGAAAGGCUCUGCUUUUGUGGGGUGCUCGAGUGGCGAACGGGUGAGUAACACGUGAGUAACCUGCCCUUGACUUUGGGAUAACUUCAGGAAACUGGGGCUAAUACCGGAUAGGAGCUCCUGCUGCAUGGUGGGGGUUGGAAAGUUUCGGCGGUUGGGGAUGGACUCGCGGCUUAUCAGCUUGUUGGUGGGGUAGUGGCUUACCAAGGCUUUGACGGGUAGCCGGCCUGAGAGGGUGACCGGCCACAUUGGGACUGAGAUACGGCCCAGACUCCUACGGGAGGCAGCAGUGGGGAAUAUUGCACAAUGGGCGGAAGCCUGAUGCAGCAACGCCGCGUGCGGGAUGACGGCCUUCGGGUUGUAAACCGCUUUCGCCUGUGGCGAAGCGUGAGUGACGGUAAUGGGUAAAGAAGCACCGGCUAACUACGUG